UUCGACUCGAGCGAAGCGAGAGAACGUUGCGCCAGCAACGGCCCGCAGGGCGAGCCACGAAGUGGCGAGUAAUCCUCUGGCACCGACCA
rnacentral:sRNA from 1 species